UGGGGAAUAUUGGACAAUGGGCGAAAGCCUGAUCCAGCCAUGCCGCGUGUGUGAAGAAGGCCUUAUGGUUGUAAAGCACUUUAAGUGGGGAGGAAAAGCUUAUGGAUAAUACCCAUAGGUUCUGACGUUACCCACAGAAUAAGCACCGGCUAACUCUGUGCCAGCAGCCGCGGUAAUACAGAGGGUGCGAGCGUUAAUCGGAAUUACUGGGCGUAAAGCGAGCGUAGGUGGUUUAUUAAGUCAGAUGUGAAAUCCCUGGGCUUAACCUAGGAACUGCAUCUGAUACUGAUAAACUAGAGUAGGUGAGAGGAAAGUAGAAUUCCAGGUGUAGCGGUGAAAUGCGUAGAUAUCUGGAGGAAUACCGAUGGCGAAGGCAGCUUUCUGGCAUCAUACUGACACUGAGGUUCGAAAGCGUGGGUAGCAAACAGGAUUAGAUACCCUGGUAGUCCACGCCGUAAACGAUGUCUACCAGUCGUUGGGUCUUUUAAAGACUUAGUGACGCAGUUAACGCAAUAAGUAGACCGCCUGGGGAGUGCGGCCGCAAGGUUA
rnacentral:rRNA from 1 species